rnacentral:tRNA from 1 species
GCCUGGGUGGCUCAGUCGGUUGGGCGUCUGACUUCGGCUCAGGUCAUGAUCUCGCGGUCUGUGAGUUCGAACCCCGCGUCGGGCU